rnacentral:rRNA from 1 species
UGGAUCCAGACUUUGAUUAUGGCUCAGGAUGAACGCUAGCUACAGGCUUAACACAUGCAAGUCGAGGGGAAACGACAUCGAAAGCUUGCUUUUGAUGGGCGUCGACCGGCGCACGGGUGAGUAACGCGUAUCCAACCUGCCCACCACUUGGGGAUAACCUUGCGAAAGUAAGACUAAUACCCAAUGACGUCUCUAGAAGACAUCUGAAAGAGAUUAAAGAUUUAUCGGUGAUGGAUGGGGAUGCGUCUGAUUAGCUUGUUGGCGGGGUAACGGCCCACCAAGGCGACGAUCAGUAGGGGUUCUGAGAGGAAGGUCCCCCACAUUGGAACUGAGACACGGUCCAAACUCCUACGGGAGGCAGCAGUGAGGAAUAUUGGUCAAUGGACGAGAGUCUGAACCAGCCAAGUAGCGUGCAGGAUGACGGCCCUAUGGGUUGUAAACUGCUUUUAUAAGGGAAUAAAGUGAGUCUCGUGAGGCUUUUUGCAUGUACCUUAUGAAUAAGGACCGGCUAAUUCCGUGCCAGCAGCCGCGGUAAUACGGAAGGUCCGGGCGUUAUCCGGAUUUAUUGGGUUUAAAGGGAGCGUAGGCCGGAGAUUAAGCGUGUUGUGAAAUGUAGAUGCUCAACAUCUGCACUGCAGCGCGAACUGGUUUCCUUGAGUACGCACAAAGUGGGCGGAAUUCGUGGUGUAGCGGUGAAGUGCUUAGAUAUCACGAAGAACUCCGAUUGCGAAGGCAGCUCACUGGAGCGCAACUGACGCUGAAGCUCGAAAGUGCGGGUAUCGAACAGGAUUAGAUACCCUGGUAGUCCGCACGGUAAACGAUGGAUGCCCGCUGUCGGUCUGAAUAGGUCAGCGGCCAAGCGAAAGCAUUAAGCAUCCCACCUGGGGAGUACGCCGGCAACGGUGCAACUCAAAGGAAUUGACGGA